CUGCCCUCCAGCGCGGCUGGGUGUUGGGUGCUGUUCCCCCGGGGACACGCCCGAAAGGCAGUGGCGGCGCCGCGUCGGUCCUCGAGCGUAUGGAGCUUUGUCACCUGCUCGGGAGGGACUGGCGGGCGUCGGCCUUGCACCGAUCGGCUCCCUUCGGGGCGUCGGUCCUCUUAC
rnacentral:misc_RNA from 1 species